CGGAGAAUUGAUGAGUAUUGAGAGAAGCGUAUGAGAAUUCUGUAAUGAAUAAAAAGUCUGUAUUCCUGAUUUCAGA